rnacentral:rRNA from 1 species
AAGCACCGGCUAACUACGUGCCAGCAGCCGCGGUAAUACGUAGGGUGCGAGCGUUAAUCGGAAUUACUGGGCGUAAAGGGUGCGCAGGCGGUCUUGCAAGUCGGAUGUGAAAGCCCCGGGCUUGACCUGGGAAUUGCGUUUGAAACUACAAGGCUAGAGUGCACCAGAGGGGAGUGGAAUUCCAUGUGUAGCAGUGAAAUGCGUACAGAUGUGGAAAAACACCGAUGGCGAAGGCAGCUCCCUGCGUCGACACUGACGCUCAUGCACUAUACCGUGGGGAGCAAACAGGAUUAGAUACCCUGCUAGUCCACGCCCUAAACGAUGUCCACUAGUUGUCGGAUCUAAUUAANGAUUGAAACUACAAAGGAAUUGGACGGGGACCCGCACAAGCGGUGGAUUACGCGGAUUAAUUGGAUGCAACGCGANAAACCUUACAUACCCUUGACAUGCUUGGAAUCUACUGGAGACAUAAGAGUACCCGAAAGGGAGCCAAGACACAGGUGCUGCAUGGCUGUCGUCAGCUCGUGUCGUGAGAUGUUGGGUUAAGUCCCGCAACGAGCGCAACCCUCGUCACUAAUUGCUAUCAUUUUUAAUGAGCACUUUAGUGAGACUGCCGGUGACAA